GACAAGUCAAAGUCCAACUUGACUGUGGCCACUGCCCAUAGAGGGUGAUAGGCCCGUAAGGCUGUCGGUUGACUGUGGCGACUUUUCCCUCGAGUCGGGUUGCUUGGGAGUGCAGCCCAAAGUGUGAGGUAAACUCCUCAUAAGCCUAAAUAUUACCCUGAGACCGAUAGCAAACAAGUACGGUGACGGAAGAUUGAAAAGAACUUUGAAGAGAGAGUUCAAUAGUACGUGAAACUGUGUGGUGGUAAACGGAGGGGUUCUCGAAGUUUCUGGAGGGAACUCAGCCUUGGAGUGGGGCUGUCUGGUUGUAUCUGAUCAGCAAUGACAGUGCGGCUAGUCAGGCUCUGUUCACGGGUGCAUUUCCCCUUCAGUUUACGGCAGGAACCRUUUAGUGCAGACCUAAGGCUCUGGGUGAAGUUAUAGGCCUAGCUUGUAGCCCCGGAUGUUCUGGCUUUGCGCUAGACGGGUAAUUGAGGAGACUCGUAUAGCGAGCAAUGCUCUGUUGCAGUCUCCAUCUCUCUGCCGAGUAGGUCGGUGGCCCCUCCGACCCGUCUUGAAACACGGACCAAGGAGUCUAACAUGUAUGCGAGCCAUUGAGUUGACUAAACUUAAAGGCGUAGUGAAAGCAAAGAGUAGCUUGCUGCUCGA
rnacentral:rRNA from 1 species